GACGUAGGGGGCAAGCGUUGUCCGGAAUCAUUGGGCGUAAAGCGCUCGUAGGUGGAUCGGUAAGUCUGCAAAGAAAGACCCGGGCUCAACUCGGGGAACGGUGUGGAUACUACCGAUCUUGAGGCAAUCAGAGGAUGAUGGAAUUCCCGGUGUAGCGGUGAAAUGCGCAGAUAUCAGGAGGAACACCGGUGGCGAAGGCGGGUCUCUGGGCCGAUACUGACGCUGAGGAGCGAAAGCGUGGGGAGCGAACAGG
rnacentral:rRNA from 1 species